rnacentral:rRNA from 1 species
GACGAACGCUGGCGGCGUGCUUCACACAUGCAAGUCGAACGGAAAGGCACCUUCGGGUGUACUCGAGUGGCGAACGGGUGAGUAACACGUGAGUAAUCUGCCUUUAGCUUUGGGAUAAGCCUCGGAAACGGGGUCUAAUACUGGAUAUGACUGCUGCUCGCAUGAGUGGUGGUGGAAAGUUUUUCGGCUAAAGAUGAGCUCGCGGUCUAUCAGCUUGUUGGUGGGGUAAUGGCUCACCAAGGCUUUGACGGGUAGCCGGCCUGAGAGGGCGACCGGCCACACUGGGACUGAGAUACGGCCCAGACUCCUACGGGAGGCAGCAGUGGGGAAUAUUGCGCAAUGGGCGAAAGCCUGACGCAGCGACGCCGCGUGAGGGGUGACGGCCUUCGGGUUGUAAACCUCUUUCGGUAGGGACGAAGCGCAAGUGACGGUACCUGCAGAAGAAGCGCCGGCUAACUACGUGCCAGCAGCCGCGGUAAGACGUAGGGCGCAAGCGUUGUCCGGAUUUAUUGGGCGUAAAGGGCUCGUAGGCGGUUUGUCGCGUCUGUCGUGAAAGCUCAGGGCUUAACUCUGAGUUUGCGGUGGAUACGGGCAGACUUGAGGCAAGUAGGGGAGAACGGAAUUCCAUGUGUAGCGGUGAAAUGCGCAGAUAUGUGGAGGAACACCGGUGGCGAAGGCGGUUCUCUGGGCUUGUUCUGACGCUGAUGAGCGAAAGCGUGGGGAGCGAACAGGAUUAGAUACCCUGGUAGUCCACGCUGUAAACUAUGGGCGCUAGGUGUGGGGCGGCGUUGUUCGUUCCGUGCCGUAGCUAACGCAUUAAGCGCCCCGCCUGGGGAGUACGGCCGCAAGGCUAAAACUCAAAGGAAUUGACGGGGGCCCGCACAAGCGGCGGAGCAUGCGGAUUAAUUCGAUGCAACGCGAAGAACCUUACCUGGGUUUGACAUCACCCGUUUACCUGCAGAGAUGUGGGGUCCUUCGGGGCGGGUGACAGGUGGUGCAUGGCUGUCGUCAGCUCGUGUCGUGAGAUGUUGGGUUAAGUCCCGCAACGAGCGCAACCCUUAUCCUAUGUUGCCAGCGCGUUAUGGCGGGGACUCAUGGGAGACUGCCGGGGUCAACUCGGAGGAAGGUGGGGAUGAGGUCAAGUCAUCAUGCCCCUUAUGUCCAGGGCUUCACGCAUGCUACAAUGGCCGGUACAGAGGGCUGCGAUACCGUGAGGUGGAGCGAAUCUCAUAAAGCCGGUCUCAGUUCGGAUCCCAGUCUGCAACUCGACUGGGUGAAGUCGGAGUCGCUAGUAAUCGCAGAUCAGCAACGCUGCGGUGAAUACGUUCUCGGGCCU